CGUCCAGGCCCGCUCCGCCCCCGGCCCGCCUUCCUCCCGCCUCGUCCUCCGCCUCCGCCCGCGCCUAGCUCGCGUCCCCGCGUCCUCCCCACCAACCCCGGAGCUGCCGGCCGCCCGCGCGAGCGCCAGCGCCAGCCAGAAGUGAGGAAGUUUACUGGAGUAAAAUGGAGGCCUCAGUAAUAUUACCUAUUCUGAAGAAAAAGCUUGCCUUCCUUUCAGGGGGAAAGGACCGACGAAGUGGCCUCAUUCUGACAAUUCCAUUAUGCUUGGAACAGACAAAUAUGGAUGAGCUGAGUGUUACCUUAGACUACCUACUCAGCAUUCCAAGUGAAAAGUGUAAGGCUAGAGGAUUUACCGUGAUUGUGGAUGGCAGAAAAUCACAGUGGAAUGUGGUGAAAACAGUAGUCUUAAUGCUACAGAAUGUUGUUCCAGCUGAGGUGUCCCUUGUUUGUGUAGUGAAGCCCGAUGAAUUCUGGGAUAAGAAAGUAACACAUUUUUGUUUUUGGAAAGAAAAGGAUAGACUUGGCUUUGAGGUUAUUUUAGUGUCUGCCAAUAAAUUGACUCGUUAUAUAGAACCGUGCCAGUUAACAGAAGAUUUUGGUGGGAGUCUCACCUAUGAUCACAUGGACUGGUUAAAUAAGAGGCUGGUUUUUGAGAAGUUUACAAAGGAAUCUACAUCAUUACUAGAUGAACUUGCUUUGAUUAACAAUGGAAGUGAUAAAGGAAGUCAGCAAGAGAAAGAGAGGUCUGUGGAUUUAAACUUUCUUCCAUCAGUUGAUCCUGAAACAGUUCUUCAGACAGGGCAUGAAUUGUUGUCCGAAUUACAGCAGCGUCGAUUUAACGGCUCAGAUGGAGGGGUCUCAUGGUCUCCUAUGGAUGAUGAACUGCUGGCCCAGCCACAGGUUAUGAAGUUAUUAGAUUCACUGAGAGAGCAGUAUACUCGCUACCAGGAAGUUUGUAGGCAACGUAGUAAGCGUACACAGUUAGAGGAGAUUCAGCAGAAGGUAAUGCAGGUUGUGAACUGGCUUGAAGGGCCUGGAUCAGAACAACUACGAGCCCAGUGGGGGAUUGGAGACUCCAUCCGGGCCUCCCAGGCACUGCAGCAAAAGCACGAGGAGAUCGAGAGUCAGCACAGUGAAUGGUUUGCAGUGUAUGUGGAACUUAAUCAACAAAUUGCAGCACUCUUAAAUGCUGGGGAUGAGGAAGAUCUUGUGGAACUGAAGUCACUGCAGCAACAACUUAGUGAUGUUUGCUACCGACAGGCCAGUCAGCUGGAAUUUAGGCAGAAUCUCUUACAAGCAGCUCUUGAAUUUCAUGGUGUUGCCCAAGAUUUGUCUCAGCAGUUGGAUGGCUUAUUAGGGAUGUUGUGCGUAGAUGUAGCACCAGCUGAUGGAGCAUCGAUUCAGCAGACUUUAAAACUGCUUGAAGAGAAGCUGAAAAGUGUUGAUGUAGGAUUACAAGGUUUGCGUGAAAAAGGUCAAGGACUUCUGGAUCAGAUCUCCAAUCAGGCAUCCUGGGCCUAUGGAAAGGAUGUCACCAUUGAAAAUAAAGAAAAUGUGGACCACAUACAAGGAGUGAUGGAAGAUAUGCAGCUUAGGAAACAAAGAUGUGAAGACAUGGUAGAUGUGCGAAGGUUAAAGAUGCUUCAGAUGGUGCAGUUGUUUAAAUGUGAAGAAGAUGCUGCCCAGGCAGUAGAAUGGCUAAGUGAACUUCUGGAUGCCCUGCUUAAGACCCACAUCAGAUUGGGUGAUGAUGCUCAGGAAACAAAAGUUUUACUGGAAAAGCAUAGAAAAUUUGUUGAUGUUGCACAGAGCACUUACGACUAUGGAAGACAGUUGCUACAGGCUACAGUUGUGUUGUGCCAAUCUCUGCGCUGCACGUCUCGAUCAUCUGGGGACACGCUUCCUCGACUGAACAGAGUAUGGAAACAGUUUACGAUAGCGUCUGAAGAGAGAGUACAUAGGCUGGAGAUGGCUAUUGCCUUUCACUCAAAUGCUGAAAAGAUUUUGCAAGACUGUCCAGAAGAGCCCGAAGCUAUUAAUGAUGAGGAGCAGUUUGAUGAAAUUGAAGCGGUUGGGAAAUCCCUUUUGGAUAGAUUAACUGUUCCUGUAGUUUAUCCUGAUGGAACUGAACAAUAUUUUGGGAGUCCAAGUGACAUGGCCUCCACUGCAGAACACAUCAGAGACAGGAUGAAACUGGUUAGUCUCAAAAGGCAGCAGCUGAGACAUCCUGAAAUGAUGACCACAGAGAGCUAAUAGCUACCAGCUUCCCACAAAUCUGCAGUUCAUAAUCCCGCAUGUCGUUGGCAUACUACAGCAUUAGCUGCAAUACAUUAAGAUACAUUUCACAGUCAGAAUAAGCCUCAUUUCUCUCCAUUUUACAUUUCUCUCUACAUGUUAACACUUUGCAACUACCAAGGCAUAAUUAUUUAACAUGCUUUGAGACCAUAGACUCCAAGUAUCUUAAAAGAAGGAACUGUAAACAUUGCACUGAAAACUUGCUUUAAAGCUUUACCUGACCUGUCAAUUUGUAGAUGAACAACUGAUAAUAAGCUUUGAAUGGUGCUAAUAAGAGUUUAGGAAUUCUCUCUAUAAAAAUGGUUGACCUUUCUCCCCAGGUGAUGUAGUAAAUUUAGAUAAUAGUUAAAUUGUUACUAGUAGACAGUGGUGUACUCAAAAAUUUUACUUUGUAAUUCUUCAAAAGUGAUUAUUUUUAUUGUGUCAGUAUGAAGAAAAUCUUCAGAUCUUUGAUAUAUCAUAUUCAUUAAAAGACAGUUUCCUAUUUGUAUUGAUAAUGUAUUAAAAGUUGUUUGUGCUUAAUAAAAAGCUUCUUUUAAACAUCUUAUUUAAUUUGGUGAUUAUAUCCUGUUUCCAGACAUGAGUGCCUUAUUUAAAAGGGCAUUCUUAGGAUUGUGAGGCUGGCAUAGUAUUUGUUUUUUUCAUGUUUGUUGCAUGUAUUUUAGCCAGGAAAUUCAUAUGUAAGCAUGUGUAUAUAAUAAGCAUGUUUAAUUUUGAGAAAUAAUAAGUUUAGAUCUUAAAGAACUUAAAAAUAAUGGAAUACUAUUUCUGAUUGUUCUCUUCUUCAAUUUGAAAAAUGUUAUCCAAAUUAUUACCUACCUUGAAGAUACUUUAUCUUUGGGGAGGAGUAUGGGGAAGAAGGCAUACAUAAUUACUUAAGUGUAAUCCUUUAUAUCAGAGGAAUCUUACUGGAGCUAAAAUAGCAUUUGUCAAUAAAAUUUAAUUUCUCAUACUAGAAGCAAAAUUCUGAAGUAGUCUAGUAACAAAAAUUGUACAACUCUUUUAGAAAUAAAAUUUAUAAAAUGUUAGUGCUUUUAAGUUUAUAUUAAGUUUAAAUGGUAAAAUACGUAUUUAAUUUUUGUGUUAAUUUUUAUUUCAGAAAAUGUUUUUGAAAAAGAUUAAAAAUACUUUUUUAGUCUGUGAUCAAUACAAAAUUAUGCAAAGAAUUGUAUGCUGGUUUCUUUUCAUGUCUUCAGUGAUGUUCAUGUAUCUUGCAAUGCAAAAAAAUCCCUCUGCACCUACCGAUUUCUCCAGCCUUCUUCACUGCCAGACUUCUCAGAGAAAUCCAUAUCCAUUCUCCCUGCAUCCUCACCAUUCACUGCUCAGCACCUUGCAGCCUGGUGUAACAUAGCACUUCAGUGAAACUCUUCUCAGUGUGCUCUCAGUUACUGAAUUGAAUAAUUUUUUUGCCCUCUGUCUGUGUUCCUUGUCCUCUGUCUCUGCAACAUUUACACCAUUUAGCAGCCUUUCCUAGACAGUGUCUCCGCCCUCGAAGAUGUUAUCCUCUGCCAUAACCGUGAGUACAGUCACACAGCUCUUAACUUAAAGUGUAUCUACUCAAAUGUGCUCUCAGAUUCUGUCUUCGGAAUGCUUCUGGAGGUAUCUCAUCCUUAGGGUUUCUGUUUUAUCCCAGCAUUCUCUGUUACGUAUCUGGUCCAAAAUUCUAGACCCAUACUUUCAACUACCCACUUGACAUUUCCUAGAUGAAGUAUCAUAUUUUUCACCUUUCUUCUCUGUGAGCAGUUUUGGUUAAAGGUGCAGCCUUUUUUUAUAGUCAAACAUGCCAGAAAAUCUGGGAGAAACUUCUGCCCCCUUUUUUCUUAUGCUGCCACUGCUUCUGAAAACAUCCAGGAAAUUCUUUCUAUAUUUGAUAAUCCUCUCAAGUCUUUUAGGACUUAACUUCUGAGUAUGGACUUUUGUGAUUCUUCAUUUCAGUCUUCAUAAUGGUGCUCACCACAUGCUACAAUUGCUUAUUGAUGUCUGUGCCUGCUACAUUAUAAUCUCUUUUGAGGGAAGGAAUCUUGUGGGACUCUCCUGUUCCCAGCCUUUUCCUCAUAUGUAAUAGUUGCUUUACUUCUUCUGUAUGUGAAUGGUCUGUUGUAGGCAUUAGUAAUAGUCCCCCUUAUAUGAUAGUCUAAAGUGUGUUUUAAAUAUAUUUCUUAAAGUUAUGACUGACUUAUGAAUGAAUCUACUCAUAAGGAAGUGAUUUGGUGUUUCAGAUACUUAUAUAUUAGGUAAUUUAGAUACUUAGUUACACUCCAUAUCUAUUCUACUGAACUUCAUAGUGAUUAGAGUGCUUUUGUUAAGACUUUGCUAGGAAAGAACUACACUGUAAGUAAAGGGGCUCUUAGUUUUAUCAUCAACUCGACUACUAAUUGUCCAGUGAGUUAGUUGUUAAUAUGCCUUAAGCUAUUUGCCUACAGCAAGAGUAAGGCAGCAUCUGGAAAUGUUAUUUGUAACUUGACUAUUUCAGAUGAAAUGGAAUAUGCUUUUGACAUGAUAUUGUUCUUCAUUUGUAAAUUUGCUGCUACUUUCUAUAUGUAUAUCUGUACAUACACGUACAGUUAUGAUUGAAAACCCAACAAUGCCCUAACGUGAUUUUGUUUCGUAGCAUCAUAGUGUACUUAGAGUACACAUGAAGGAAGUGACUGCAGUCUGUUUGAAAUCAUGAGUUCUUUGUACAUCAUAAGUUGACGUUGGUCCACAACUGGAGGAAGAACCAUCAUUUCUACAUGCCAUCUAUUGGUAUAUGCCACAACUUUCCACAUCAUUUUAGCUCAUCUCAGGGAAUUCUUGGAGUGUUCAUUGGGCUAGUUUUGUUUUUUGUUUUGGUUUGGGGGAUUUUUUUUCCUCUUGCCUUCUUAUUGUGUAUUUGCUCCUCUCUUAGCUCAAUAUAUAAGUUUUGACAGCUGUUCUUCACAUGUCUGACCCAGCAGAUGCAAAGAUGGUACCUUGAUUUCAGAAAAAAAUUGACUUCAUUCCCAGUUCCCAUUGUUGGCAACACAUUGCUGUUGGUGAUGAGACGGCUCACCCUGCCAGCCAGGAUGAUGAUGGCAGGUCUAGGCUUCAUCACUGGGUACAGGAUUGGAUACUACUCUCACUUUAUAGGCAUUUAAAUUAGCCAGGUUGCUGAGUGUUACCUAGUGUUGCGUGUUGUUUCAUUACCCCAUCAGUUGAAAUAUGGAGUGUGCUGUUUAGUUUAUUAUUGUUGCUGGCAGAAUCUAAGGUGAACUGAACAUGACAAUUACUUUUCUGAUAGUGCUGCACAAACCAUACUCUCUGUUCUAAACCUAUUGUAACCAGUGAUGUGAUUGUGACAGUAUAUGAACGUAUUUCAUGAUAUAAUCCGAGGAAGAACUCAGAAUCCUCUACUACAUUGUACGUUCCCUGCCAGAGAGGUUGGAGAUUGCUGUGUACUUUUCCCAUAGUAAAACCCUGUGGUUACUAGGAACUGCACAUGCUCUGGUUGCUAAGUUCUCCACAUCCUAAACUAUUGAAAAUGAUAUGGGGAACUAUCAUCAGUAAAUAUCAGUGACAAGAGUUAGCGUGAUUGAGAUAACUUUGGUUAAAUCCCCAAAAGAGAAAUCCUCUAGAAUUAAGAAGAUGGGCUGAAACAUACCUGCCGAGUUAACCUAAUUAGAAAACUUUCCAAGGUUAACUCUCAGUUCUGAAAAUAGAAAGCUUCAAUUGAAGAAAAUGGAAAAUACACUCCUGGUAUGGAGGGCAGCAGAUAACUUGAUGAGGCAAAAUUAAGUACUGAUUUAACAUCUGAUAUUAUGUGGCUUCAUUGUGUGCUUUAGAAAUGUCUGCAUUUAGCCAAGAAGCAUAAAUAGUGGCAAGAAUAGUAAAGAUCAUAAAAAAGCUAAAGUAAGAGCUGUACUGAAUAUAAUGGAAAGAGUGGAGUUUGAAUAUCUCAUUUCAGAAUCUGGCUUUGCCAUUUACUGACCUUUGUAAAAAUUACUCAACUUUUCUGCAUCUAUAAAUACAAUCAUACUAAAAAAAUGUGUUGAAAAUUAUGAUGUUAUCCAAAGUGGAAGGAAUUAUUACUAUAAUUAUAUUUUCAGAAUGGAAAAUAGAGCAUUCUUUAAUCUUGCUCUUUUCUCAGAUGACGAGCAUGGAGUUGUGGGAGACAUGGCACACUGUUUAUGCUCACCUCCCUGAGCUCCAUUUCCCCUACAUUCAGAAUUACAUACUGGAAAUACUAAGGGUGGAGUUGGUGAGCUCAUCAGUAAAUAACAGGACUCCUAAACUGACAGAUUAACUCUUUUAUGGCAGGAUGGUAGACCAGCGAGAUGGAAGACAAGUGAGGAGUAUCAUCUACUUUGAGGUUGACAGGACAUGACAGAGUGCCAUUAAAAAAUAAGUAAAAGCUCUUAAGUUUCUAAAUUGACACUGGUCGGAAGAAUCUGAUGAUUAUCUUGCUAUGAGAUUAAUAAUGAAAUUUUCAGUGGCAUUGUUUGGUAAGUGUUGCAUCCUCAAAUUCUCCAACAUUUUAUAAAACUUUUCAAACAUAGAAAAAAGUUGAAAUUUUACAAUGUAUUCAUCACCCACGUGAUAGUUAGCAUUAGCUAUGCUUGUGUUAUACCUAUCCACCCAUCAGUUCAUCAAUCCAAAUUAUUUUUUAUGCAUUUUAAGUUGCAGACAGAUUUACAUUUCCUACUAAUAACUUCAGCAUACAUAUCAACUGGAGCUCAAUAAUAUGCUUACCACAUUUUUUAUGUAGAAUUAGCAUACAGUGAAAUGCAUAAAUCUUAAGUGUGCAUCACUGAGUUGUGGAAAAUGUAUACAGUGCUAUCAAAAUGUAAAGCGUUCUCAGAAAAUUCCCAUUUUGCCUUUUCCAGUCAAUCCUUGACCCCACACCCUCCCAAAGGCAACUACUGUUCUUUUGUCUACCACAAAUCAAAAUUUGUGUGUUCUAGAUCUUUAUGUAAAUAGAGCCACACAGCAUGUAAUCUUUCUAGAAGCCUCUUACUAUGUUUUGGAGGUUUAUCCAUGUUAGGUGUAUUAGUAGUUCAUUCCUUUUUAUUGCUGAGUAUUCUUCCAUUGUAUGACUAUAUUGCAGUAUAUCCAUUUUCCUAUUUAGGAAUACCUGGGCUGUUUCCAGCAUUAGUAACUAUAAACAAAGCUGCUAUGAUUAUUCAUAGGUCUUAUGUGAAUGUAGGCUUUCGUUUCUCUUGGAUGAAUACCUAGGGUUAGAAUUUCUGUGUCAUAGGGUAGUUUUAAAAGAAACAGCUAUACCUUUUUCAAUGUGGUUAUAGGGUGUCCUGGAUUUUCACUCUAUUUUGGAUGUGUAGAAAGGUGUAAACUAUUUUUAUGAUCCAUGUUUGAAAUAUUAGAAGUGGGUUUGUGAUAGAAAUGGCAUUGUUAACAUGGUUGGCAGUUGGUGUUUUUUGAGAGAAGAAAUACCUGUCUGCCCCAAGUAGCUCCCCAACAGGUAUAUAUGCCUGAAAUUUUAGCAUUAGUUUCACUUCUUCAAAGAUUCAAGCACUUCCCAAGUAUGGUGAUACAUUAGCUAGAAGAAACAGCACUGGUUUGUUUAUGUUACUAACUUUGCCACCUGUUUUCAAUAAGUGAAAUAAGACCGAUUAAACAAAAGAUUAUUUCUGUUCAAUUGGGGUAGAAGGGGUAGUCAAAAACAUAUGCUACUAGUCUGUCUUGGGUACAGCAAUGUGAGACAGAACCAUCUGGAUGGGAUAGCCCCCCCAAUUGGUCAAGAAACCAGAAAACAGGGUGGGAAGAAUUCUACCUCACUGUUGUGAUAGGGGAUAGCUAUGUUUUUUGCAGGACAUUUUAGCCUUUACAAAUCGUAUUUUCUGUGUUUUUUGUUUGUUUAGCACCACCCAGCUGUAAUUAUUUCACACCCUAGUGACUUUGUUAUUCACUGUUCUUUUACCCUUCCUCCCUGUUAAAUUACAUAGAGCAGUCACCUGUAUAAACCUGUAAAAUUAUAAUCAUAUGUAUGUUUCUAAUGCCUGUGUUCCAAGAUAUUUAUGUAUGGUUCAUCCAAUCUUUCCUACUCAAUUUUUAAGGGCUGGGAUAUUUGGCCUCUACUGUAAACCCCUAUAAUGUUCCACACAUUGUAAAUGCAAUAAAAAUGUUAAAAACUA